UACAGAGGCCUCGAGCGUUAGGCGGAAUCACUGGGCUUAAAGCGUGUGUAGGCGGACUUCUAAGUACCUUGUGAAAUCCCACGGCUUACCCGUGGAACGGCUGGGUAUACUGGGAGUCUUGAGCCACCUAGGGGCGAGUGGAACAAAUGGUGGAGCGGUGAAAUGCGUAGAUAUCAUUUGGAACGCCAAUGGUGAAAACAACUCGCUGGGGGUGUGCUGACGCUGAGGCACGAAAGCCAGGGGAGCAAACGGG
rnacentral:rRNA from 1 species